AACGAACGCUGGCGGCAGGCUUAACACAUGCAAGUCGAACGCCCCGCAAGGGGAGUGGCAGACGGGUGAGUAACGCGUGGGAACGUGCCCUUCGCUUCAGGAUAGCCUCGGGAAACUGGGAGUAAUACUGGAUACGCCGUAUUGGGAAAGAUUUAUCGGCGAAGGAUCGGCCCGCGUUAGAUUAGGUAGUUGGCGGUGUAAUGGACCACCAAGCCUACGAUCUAUAGCUGGUCUGAGAGGAUGAUCAGCCACACUGGGACUGAGACACGGCCCAGACUCCUACGGGAGGCAGCAGUGGGGAAUCUUGGACAAUGGGCGCAAGCCUGAUCCAGCCAUGCCGCGUGAGUGAAGAAGGCCUUAGGGUUGUAAAACUCUUUCGCCGGAGAAGAUAAUGACGGUAUCCGGAGAAGAAGCCCCGGCUAACUUCGUGCCAGCCGCCGCCGUAAAAC
rnacentral:rRNA from 1 species